UAAUUAAAUGAUACAGCAGAUACAUAGGCCAGGCACAGGGCCUGAGCCUGUCACCCAGUAGAACUCACUACUGUUCUUUCAGAAAGUUUCCAGAGACAGAUCAUCAUGUGCUAUCUUGGGGAGGUCUCCAUGGCUUCUCUGAAGGCUUGGACUUUCAGAAUAGAUCAAUACUUCCCACGUCUCACCCCUCUCCAAGUACCUCUAACACCAGCAUCAAGGAGAGUUGCAGAAGAACUUGGGGCUCUUCGCACUACAUGCCUAGCUGGCACCUGUUGACUCCUGACACCCCUGGGAAGCCACACUGAAGGAGAUUCUCCUGCAGAGUGGAGUGUGUUCUGUUCCUCAACUCAAUGCUAAGACUACAAAAACACUCAUGGAGCUUCAAAGAUUAAGCCCCCUUCCCUCACUUCCUGACUGGCCCUAUAUUACAAGCUCUGUUUCUCUCAUCUUGCCUGACAGAUCUGCAAGAAGGGAGCCACCUGCCUCGGGGCCUUGCGCAGCACCUCCUCUUGUAGCUCCUUUUUGUCUCCACUAUGAUCAGAGUUCCCACCAUGGGCCAGUCCUGUCUGUGUUCUUCAUGAAGCCUUUCCUGGCCCAGUGUGGGGGAUACAAUCCCUUCAAAUCAGCAAGAUAAGGAUUUGACACUUGCUGGGAACUUUUUGGAAAUCUGAUAGACUAAGAAAACCUUUCACAGUUUCAAAAUGGUGCCCAGAUCCUUAAGAGUUCACAGACUACAGGUUGAUAGUCUCUCAUCUACACCACAGGAGGUUUCGUGGUACAAGUGGCUGGUGUCAGAGGCUUGGGCCAGGUGGCACUGAUAGGAGCCAGGGGGGGCAGAAAUGCCAGCCACCCCUUCUUCCCACACAGUGCUUCCCUGUUUAGCAGCCUCCUAUCUCUUGAAAUCACUACCUUGGUAGCAUGACUCAGCUCCUCGACCCGUCAUGCAUCAAAGACACCAUGGUUUGUCACACAGCGUCCAUCCCCACCCACCCUCCUAGCUGAAGGACACACUCCUCUAUAACUGAACUCUGAAGCCAGUUCCUCACUUCCUCCCUCCUCCCUCCUUCCCUCCCUUCCUUUCUUUCUUCUUUCCUUCCUUCUGUCUUGUCUUUCUGUCUGCCUUCCUUUCUUUAUCUCUAACUGCUUGAAAAGAGUGAGUUAGCCUCAUGCAACAGCUUAUAAUAAUAUUCAGAAAUAUUCCUGAAUCUGACACUUAGGUUAGUAUGCUAGCUAGUUUUUAGUUUGUUUGGUUGGUUUUUCUCAAGUCAGGAUUUCCCUGCAUAGUUCUGGCUGGCCCGUAACUCAGUCUGUAGAUCACUAGUUAAUUUUAAUUAUCAAUCAGAUAUAACCUAGACUCAGUGGUGAAGAGGAUCUUAAUGAGAAAGUCUCUGGAUUCUGUUGUCCUGUUAGCAAGUCUUCAAGCAAUUUUCUUAACUGGGCCAACUGAAGUGGGAAAGCCUACCCUGGACAUGGCUGCCACCGAGUCCUGGACUGUCUAAGUGUAGAGAGGUAGCCUUCAGACCUGACUAACUAGGACAGAGGUACCCCUACUGGCUGCUUUGUGAGAGCACCUCUCACUGGGCUUGGCUGGUAAGCACUGAGUGUAUUAAAGGCCAGGGGGGACUUUAGGGAGAGCGAUGUCUUGGCGACUCCGUUCUCCUUCCGUUGUCAUGCACAAAGCAAUAUAAGUCAUCAUUGAAACACUGCUCACCAAGAGCAAGGGUGCUGCUGUUAUUUUAAAGGUUCUCUGGAUUACAAUCUGAGGUCAUAUGAGGCCAUGAAGAUAUCUUGUUAAGCAAAACUCAAAGCAGUGCACUUGCUGGAGGAACCACCUGAUAAAAACUCUGGUCUUUUAGUACUGACUGCAUAUUAGCUUCUAUGGUCCAACAGUAUUGCUCAUCCAUUCACGUGACCCUGAGUGCUCUUCCCAGGCUUAGAGACUCACUGGACCAAGGAUAAAAGGGCCAAGCCACUGAUGUAGUAGCCUUCAAGGCUAUGUGCAUAUAAGCACGCUCUCACAUACUCACACACAUAUGCACCCAAAUAAAUACACACUCUUACAUGCUCACAUGCUGUGGGAUGUGUGUGUGUUCUCCUCAACCUGGACAAGCUCUCAAACCUUGCAGAGCUUUAUUGCCAGGUACAGGGUUGAUGGGAAAUGUUCCAUGGGAAUGUCUCAUGUACAUUUCUCAAGAACCUUCCACAUUCUCGCUCUGCAACCUCUUCCAUCAGUUCAGACAAAUAUUGUUCAAAGAAGAAUAGGAGAGAGAGAAGCAAACCCAAGUCUCCAAGGAGGAUCUGAUGGACUUGGAAAAGGAGGGAAUGUUUAUGUAUGGACAAGUCACAGUACGUAACAUCUAGCCAUGCGUAAGGUGCCAAAUUUGACCCCACUGCAAUCACUGCAAUUAAUCACUUACAAAAUGUCCUUUCUUUUCGGUCCACAAAGAUCCGAUUAAAGAUUGCCUAAGAUUUACUUCAAAUUAAAGAAAGGCCCAGGAUGGAGUUCAAAUUCUGUAUAACUAUAGCGUACGUGAAACCAACCAUUUCUGAAGCCGUGUUUGUUGGCUACCUCCACACAGAUUGAAAACACCUAGGACCAGGCUCUGUCAUUCUCUCUUCUGAGAGUCAUGGUCUAUUCGAGGAAGGAGACCCCACUAGUCAGCUCAGCUCAGCUCCUCAGUCUAGGGCUUUAGACUGAAGGCAUACCAUUGCUUGAAGAUGGUGGUGACGGUGUAACUGUGGCAGCAAUGGUCUCCAGUACAGCACAACAUAGCAGGCACCCUUUCAAUACGGUAUGUAACGGCCCCUACACCUGGACUAUGGAUAUCCUCAUAGAACAGAGAGAAAGCUAAAAGGGCGGUGAAGUAACUCAUUUAAACCAGCAGAAUCUUAUCUCAGAUGCCUCACAAUUAUGCUCUUUGAUGCCGAGCUAUAUGGUUUGUUACAUCACAGCCUUCAGGCUUCGUGGGACAGAACUGAUCCCUCCCAAAGAAGACGCAAUUCGCGCAUUCCUUCAACAUAGUGUAGCAUGGGUCAUGCCUCAUUUUCUUACAAGCAAGGGAAACUUUUCUAAAUCCAACAACAACAACAACAAAAUAUGGUGGACGAGUAAGAGGUACUAGAACUUUCCAUACACGGUUAAAAAAAAAAAAAAAAAA